UAUAGUAUAGUAGGUGAUGUGUUCGUGAAACAUAGUUCCUGUACUUAUAGUAUAAACAAUACUAUUGUGAGGGAAGGAUGUGAAGUCCGACUAAGGAAUAACGAUUCAUUUUUUAUUUUUUUUUUAUGACACAAUCUGUGAAAAAAUCCUGCGCAUGUCUACUGGCAUGUACGUGCGAUGGUUUUCAAUUCAUUUUUACUGAUCUGAUNUAACUC